GGGGUAGUGAUGGGCUAAACUGCGAUUUUCCGAUAUCAGUGAUUUCUGUGAAUGCUACUUUUCAGUAUCUGCUAUUCUUAACUGUGAUUUGUCGCUGAUAAGAGUCGCAGUUAAGGAACGUAGGUCGCGUAUCCCUCCGUCACUGCUAUUUCUGCGAUUUCUGCUACUUCCGCGAUUUCUGUGACUUCUGCGAUUUCUGCUACUUACCACCGUAUGAAAAAGUUACAUCUGCCCACACAGAAAAUUGCGUCUCAACAAACCUGUCAUUGGUACCCGAACUACAUUUCAGUCACUCAGUAAAUUGAUAACUCAACAGAUCUGGAGAAAUUACCACUGCGUCUUUAGACCGUUUUCGUCAGCCGAGAGACACAGUUCUGACUCUUGAUUACUGGUUUCUGUACGGAUCUAUCCACAUCAAGGCUGUUAAGAGAGACUCGUGAAGAUUCAAGAUUUGCAGUUUAAAAGUGACAUAAUUGUGAAAUAA